UUCACUUUGAUCUUAGUUGUAGUUUUAGGAAAAAGACACCUAUACACUAAAAAUUAUUAAGAAGUCCAAAUACAUUCUGAGGCACAGUCAACACUGGAGUGAGUAAGAAGGUUUACAGAUGACAGGUUUGAAAGGAAAGUACUUAUAGGAAAGGAAAGUACUUGAUAAAGUUAUGUUGUGAUUGCUGAAAAAUCUGCUAAAUCUGUGGUCACAAUUUUAAAAUCAUUAAGCUAUUAAAAACUCCACAGCCUUCCUUUAAAAAGAGAGUUAAAUCUAAAAAGAAGUAAAGGAUAAACACCACUUUGU
rnacentral:lncRNA from 1 species